UUCUUUUUAUGUGUAUAUACAUAUAAACUAAACAAAGAAAAUUUCCAUUCAAUACAGUCAGAAGGCAAAAUGUCUUCAAACCUUGAGAUUGUCCUUGUGGAAUGAUUGCCUCUGGAAAGAAAAGCUAAGAAAGCAAACACACAAUUUCACAUCACUCAGAAGCACAUGGAGAGGCUUUCAAUGAGGCAUCCAUAAGAAGACUCUGUGGGAUGCUUGACAGUUUAAAGCAGAGAGGAAGAUCAGGAAUUUGCAGGGAUGACCUACAAAAAACACUAACAUAAAACAACCUUUCUAGUUUUAUGUUUCCCUUGUCAAAUAAAAAAAAAAUGAAGUUUCUAAAGUA